CGUAAAGUCUGGGGAUGAUGAUGUGUACCCGUAAUCCCAAGAACUCAGAAGUCUGACGCAGGAACAUUGACAUAUAAUUCUCAUGACUCAACAUUUAGAGGCAGAAGACUUCUCUUUGCCCAGAGGUGUAUAUUGAGUCUAUCGCUUGGUGUUCAAUUGCCUGGGUCACAUCCAUGGCCCCUUGUCCUGUCAGACUUAGCGUAUUUUACGAAAAUCGACUGAACACACCUGGUAUGUACCUGACACUGAGUAUACAGCAAUAAACGAAGGUCAUCAUUGCUUUCAC